AGUUUUAGAGAGAGGUGAUCGCCUAGAAUUGCUGGUUGACAAAACUGCUAGUAUGCAAGGAAAUACCUUUCGCUUCAGAAAGCAAUCUCGCCGUUAUAAGAACACAGUGUGGUGGAGAAAUGUCCGGUUUACGGUUGCUCUCAUAAUCCUCCUCCUGAUUAUUGGUUAUAUUGUGCUUGCUUUUGUUUGCCACGGGUUCACGAUACCUUCCUGUAUCUAAAACGGGGUAAACAGUUUGAGAGAUUC